UACAGAGGUCCCAAGCGUUGUUCGGAUUCACUGGGCGUAAAGGGUGCGUAGGUGGUCAGGUAAGUCGGAUGUGAAAUUUCCGAGCUCAACUCGGAAACUGCAUUGGAAACUACCUGGCUCGAGGGUUGGAGGGGGGACUGGAAUGCUUGGUGUAGCAGUGAAAUGCGUAGAUAUCAAGCGGAACACCAGUGGCGAAGGCGAGUCCCUGGACAACUCCUGACACUGAUGCACGAAAGCUAGGGGAGCAAACAGG
rnacentral:rRNA from 1 species